CCUACGGGUGGCAGCAGUGAGGAAUAUUGGUCAAUGGUCGUAAGUCUGAACCAGCCAAGUAGCGUGAAGGAUGACGGCCCUAUGGAUUGUAAACUUCUUUUAUAUGGGAAUAAAAUGCGGCACGUGUGACGUUUUGUAUGUACCUUAUGAAUAAGGAUCGGCUAACUCCGUGCCAGCAGCCGCGGUAAUACGGAGGAUCCGAGCGUUAUCCGGAUUUAUUGGGUUUAAAGGGUGCGUAGGCGGCCUGUUAAGUCAGCUGUGAAAGUCUGUGGCUCAACCAUGGAAUUGCGGUUGAAACUGGGAGGCUUGAGUAUGGUGGAGGUAGGCGGAAUGCGUGGUGUAGCGGUGAAAUGCUUAGAUAUCACGAAGAACCCCGAUUGCGAAGGCAGCAUACGGAGCCGUUACUGACGCUGAAGCACGAAAGCGUGGGUAUCAAACAGGAUUAGAUACCCCUGUAGUC
rnacentral:rRNA from 1 species